AGCAGGAAGGCUUGAGAUACACAACCCAUAUCUUUAAGGCACUUUCCAUCUGGUGGAGAAACGGAAAUUUUACAGAGGAUGAAACUGAGGCACAGAGAAGUCAAGCGUCUUGUGCAGGGCCAGGAUUGGGACCCACGCAGCCUGCUCCAGAGCCGGGCUCUGACCCUCCACAAGAGCCAUCACUAAAGUUCCACUUACCGCUGCACCUUCAAUCUCUUCCUCUCUCCAUCCCUCCCACAUGUUCACAGACAAAAUCUUCUUCCUUAUUUAAUAAAACAAUAUAAUGACCAGCCUGGCAAA
rnacentral:lncRNA from 1 species